rnacentral:rRNA from 1 species
CCUACGGGAGGCAGCAGUGAGGAAUAUUGGUCAAUGGGCGGGAGCCUGAACCAGCCAAGUCGCGUGAGGGAAGACGGCCCUACGGGUUGUAAACCUCUUUUGUCGGGGAGCAAAGCGAGUCACGUGUGACUCAUUGAGAGUACCCGAAGAAAAAGCAUCGGCUAACUCCGUGCCAGCAGCCGCGGUAAUACGGAGGAUGCGAGCGUUAUCCGGAUUUAUUGGGUUUAAAGGGUGCGCAGGCGGGGGUGCAAGUCAGCGGUCAAAUUGCGGGGCUCAACCCCGACAAGCCGUUGAAACUGGCUUGCUAGAGUGGGCGAGAAGUAUGCGGAAUGCGUGGUGUAGCGGUGAAAUGCAUAGAUAUCACGCAGAACUCCGAUUGCGAAGGCAGCAUACCGGCGCCCAACUGACGCUCAGGCACGAAAGCGUGGGUAUCGAACAGGAUUAGAUACCCUAGUAGUC